rnacentral:rRNA from 1 species
UACCAUCACCCCGAGUGGUCGGGACGUUUAUUGGGCCUAAAGCAUCCGUAGCCGGUUCUACAAGUCUUCCGUUAAAUCCAACUGCUUAACAGGUGGGCUGCGGAAGAUACUAUAGAGCUAGGAGGCGGGAGAGGCAAGCGGUACUCGGUGGGUAGGGGUAAAAUCCGUUGAUCCAUUGAAGACCACCAGUGGCGAAGGCGGCUUGCCAGAACGCGCUCGACGGUGAGGGAUGAAAGCUGGGGGAGCAAACCGG